GGAUGCGAUCAUAGCAGCACAAAAGCACCGGAUCCCAUCAGAACUCCGAAGUUAAGCGUGCUUGGCCGAGAGUAGUACUAGGAUGGGUGACCUCCUGGGAAGUCCUCGUGUUGCAUUCC
rnacentral:rRNA from 1 species